rnacentral:rRNA from 1 species
AUUGAACGCUGGCGGCAGGCCUAACACAUGCAAGUCGAGCGAGCGGCGGACGGGUGAGUAAUGUAUGGGGACUGCCCGAUAGAGGGGGAUAACUACUGGAAACGGUGGCUAAUACCGCAUACUAUCGGAUAACCAAUAUGGGAUUAGCUAGUAGGUGGGGUAAAGGCUCAACUAGGCGACGAUCGCUAGCUGGUCUGAGAGGAUGAGCAGCCACACUGGGACUGAGACACGGCCCAGACUCCUACGGAGGCAGCAGUGGGGAAUAUUCGACAAUGGGCGCAAGUCUGAUCCAGCAACGCCGCGUGAGUGAAGAAGGUUUUCGGAUCGUAAAGCUCUGUUAUUGGGGAAGCGGUAUCUAACCAGAAAGCACCGGCUAACUCCGUGCCAGCAGCCGCGGUAAUUC